AUAAAAAAGAUGAGAUUAUUAUAAUGAAAGUGUAUACUGACAUUAUAAUAAUCUUGUCUAUGUUCUAAAUACAAAAUACCUUCACGAGGUUUAGAAUGAGUGAUAUAAGAAAGUUAUAUUAGCUAAAUUGAUUUGUGUUAAAAAAUUGAAAUUAUAUUUAUUUUUUGUAAGUAGUAAGAAGUAGUGAAAUAUUUAUAUAUGAGAUAUAUAUGGAUAAUUUCUUUCUUUGGUUUGAUCUAUUAUAAAUGACAUAUAUAUGUUAACAUAUUUUUACUAUAC
rnacentral:misc_RNA from 1 species